CUCCGUUGGUGAACCAGCGGAGGGAUCAUUACUGAGUUUACGCUCUACAACCCUUUGUGAACAUACCUAUAACUGUUGCUUCGGCGGGUAGGGUCUCCGUGACCCUCCCGGCCUCCCGCCCCCGGGCGGGUCGGCGCCCGCCGGAGGAUAACCAAACUCUGAUUUAACGACGUUUCUUCUGAGUGGUACAAGCAAAUAAUCAAAACUUUUAACAACGGAUCUCUUGGUUCUGGCAUCGAUGAAGAACGCAGCGAAAUGCGAUAAGUAAUGUGAAUUGCAGAAUUCAGUGAAUCAUCGAAUCUUUGAACGCACAUUGCGCCCGCCAGCAUUCUGGCGGGCAUGCCUGUUCGAGCGUCAUUUCAACCCUCAAGCUCUGCUUGGUGUUGGGGCCCUACAGCUGAUGUAGGCCCUCAAAGGUAGUGGCGGACCCUCCCGGAGCCUCCUUUGCGUAGUAACUUUACGUCUCGCACUGGGAUCCGGAGGGACUCUUGCCGUAAAACCCCCAAUUUUCCAAAGGUUGACCUCGGAUCAGGUAGGAAUACCCGCUGAACUUAAGCAU
rnacentral:rRNA from 1 species